GUUUACGGCCAUACCACCCUGAACACGCCCGAUCUCGUCUGAUCUCGGAAGCUAAGCAGGGUCGGGCCUGGUUAGUACUUGGAUGGGAGACCGCCUGGGAAUACCAGGUGCUGUAAGCUU
rnacentral:rRNA from 1 species